CAGAGCAUCCAUUUUACAUUCGACAGCUUGUUCAGCGUGGAACCUGAAACCACGUGUGAUAACGACUGGGUGAAGGUCACGGGCGAUGCUGAUAGAUACAACCAUGGACCCUUUUGUGGAGACUCGACCCCCGCUGCAUUCAGCAUACCCGGAGACCACGCCUUCGUAGCCUUCUUUACGGACGACUCUGGCACUUACCCUGGCUUCAAUAUCACCUGGAAUUCUGAUUAGAGUCAAUGAUUUAGUCCACUGGGAGAACCACAGGAAAGAACAGCGUUAAACUGUAUUGUUCUGUUACAGUGGCAUACACACAUA